GAUGAACGCUGGCGGCGUGCCUAAUACAUGCAAGUAGAACGCUGAAGGAAGGAGCUUGCUCUUUCCGGAUGAGUUGCGAACGGGUGAGUAACGCGUAGGUAACCUGCCUGGUAGCGGGGGGUAACUAUUGGAAACGAUAGCUAAUACCGCAUAACAGUAGAUGUUGCAUGAUAUCUACUUAAAAGGUGCAAUUGCACCACUACCAGAUGGACCUGCGUUGUAUUAGCUAGUUGGUGAGGUAACGGCUCACCAAGGCGACGAUACAUAGCCGACCUGAGAGGGUGAUCGGCCACACUGGGACUGAGACACGGCCCAGACUCCUACGGGAGGCAGCAGUAGGGAAUCUUCGGCAAUGGACGGAAGUCUGACCGAGCAACGCCGCGUGAGUGAAGAAGGUUUUCGGAUCGUAAAGCUCUGUUGUAAGAGAAGAACGAGUGUGAGAGUGGAAAGUUCACACUGUGACGGUAGCGUACCAGAAAGGGACGGCUAACUACGUG
rnacentral:rRNA from 1 species